GACCAUCCUUACAGGAGUUGUUGUAAUCCUGACCGUUUACUUCAAUAAACACCAGUCUUUGGUAAGCCCAAGGAUAUAUAUAUAUAUAUAUAUAUAUAUAUAUAUAUAUAUAUAUAUAUAUAUAUAUAUAUAUAUAUAUAUAUAUAUAUAUAUAUAUAUAUAUAUAUAUAUAUAUAUAUAUAUAGACAUAAAUUUAUAUAACUAUAGACAUAGAAUUUCAACAGUGUUGAGGAAGGAAGCGGAAGUAGCGAUCCUGAGUUGCGAGGUUGACAGUAUUCCUACGAAAAUAGUGUUGCGUUGUUUCACGAUCGCUUCGAUCGUUUUUUUUCCAGAAAUACAUAAGCGUUUGCUGUGUGAUGGUUACGAUAGUGCUAGCCCUGGGUGUGAUCAUAGAAAAGUCAACAACAGCCACAGAUAUACAUAACUAUUUGAAGAAGGGUAACUGCAAGGGUGUAUACGCAUACAACAAGCCCUCUAAAAAAAAAAAUAUUGUGACAAGGUCAAAAAAGCGGAUCUCUGGUAUUAUAUUCUGUUAUUUGCAACUGAUAUUGUGUUGGUGCUGUGUUCCUUCGCCA